rnacentral:rRNA from 1 species
CACGUAGGGGGCAAGCGUUGUCCGGAUUUAUUGGGCGUAAAGAGCUCGUAGGCGGCUCGUCGCGUCGACCGUGAAAACCCGCGGCUUAACUGCGGGCUUGCGGUUGAUACGGGCGGGCUAGAGUUCGGUAGGGGAGACUGGAAUUCCUGGUGUAGCGGUGAAAUGCGCAGAUAUCAGGAGGAACACCGGUGGCGAAGGCGGGUCUCUGGGCCGAUACUGACGCUGAGGAGCGAAAGCGUGGGGAGCGAACAGG